AAGUCGUAACAAGGUCUCCGUAGGUGAACCUGCGGAGGGAUCAUUACAGAGUUCGUGCCCUUCGGGGUAGACCUCCCACCCUUUGCUGUUAUACCUUUGUUGCUUUGGCGGGCCGCCAGGCCCCGGCCUGGCCCCUGGCUCCGGCUAGGGUGCCGCCCGCCAGAGGACCCUCAAACCUGAAUGUCAGUGUCGUCUGAGUACUAUACAAUAGUUAAAA
rnacentral:misc_RNA from 1 species